CGCUAUCACUCCGUACGGGAGGCAGCAGUAGGGAAUCUUCACAAUGGACGAAAGUCUGAUGGAGCAAACGCCGCGUGAGUGAAGAAGGGUUUCGGCUCGUAAAACUCUGUUGUUAAAGAAGAACAUAUCUGAGAGUAACUGUUCAGGUAUUGACGGUAUUUAACCAGAAAGCCACGGCUAACUACGUGCCAGCAGCCGCGGUAAUACGUAGGUGGCAAGCGUUGUCCGGAUUUAUUGGGCGUAAAGCGAGCGCAGGCGGUUUUUAAGUCUGAUGUGAAAGCCUUCGGCUCAACCGAAGAAGUGCAUCGGAAACUGGGAAACUUGAGUGCAGAAGAGGACAGUGGAACUCCAUGUGUAGCGGUGAAAUGCGUAGAUAUAUGGAAGAACACCAGUGGCGAAGGCGGCUGUCUGGUCUGUAACUGACGCUGAGGCUCGAAAGUAUGGGUAGCAAACAGGAUUAGAUACCCUGGUAG
rnacentral:rRNA from 1 species